UACGGAGGAUCCAAGCGUUAUCCGGAUUUAUUGGGUUUAAAGGGAGCGUAGGCGGCCUGUUAAGUCAGAGGUGAAAGACGGUAGCUCAACUAUCGCAGUGCCUUUGAUACUGACGGGCUUGAAUACAGAUGAGGUAGGCGGAAUGUGACAAGUAGCGGUGAAAUGCAUAGAUAUGUCACAGAACACCGAUUGCGAAGGCAGCUUACUAAACUGUGAUUGACGCUGAGGCUCGAAAGCGUGGGGAUCAAACAGG
rnacentral:rRNA from 1 species